rnacentral:lncRNA from 1 species
GGAAGUUUGAUCGUAAGAGGCUCCAGUGAUUUUCCUUCCCACCUCUCCCCUCCCUAAUUUCUCUGCCUCGACACUCGCUCUGGAACAGAGCGAACUCAAAAAGCCCAUCGGCGCAGGGCGCGCUUCGCAGCCAAGCCCUGCCACUCUCCAGAGACUGUGAGGUGAUUCUCCUUCGUCACUGCUUGGACCAGGAACCACAGCCCUGCAGUGGUUGGCAGUUUUCCUCAACUUUGCGAGAGAGAGAGAGAGAUUGUGUUGGAAUGAAACCUUGCUCUGCGUACAGCCUGCUUGAGAUGCAGCAUUGAAAGAUCACUCACAAUCAGUUUGUGGCCUUUCUCUGGAGGAACCUUUCCUUGUCUCUUGUGUAAGUAUUUAUAACAUUUUAUACUUUUCAUUGAUAUAAGUUGUGCCUUUUCUUCAAGUUCCGUCAAAGUCAGCCCAGGGCCUCUGUUGCUUCCCAUAGUCACAGGACUCAAUAUUUAAAAUUUUUAUUUCAAUGCAGUCCAAGAUUUUAAUGCAGUGUCACCUUAUGGGACUCAGAUUUUAGUUCAGUGACAUUGUGUGAUUGAUUUACCUGGAAUUUAUAUGUGCAUUUCUGGAUCACAAUAUGGAAGAUUGCUGUUUGUGUGUGGGGAUAUACAUGUUCUGAUGGACAUUAUGCUGUUGUGUUCUAGUUCAGAAUGAAAUAUAAAGUAUUCCAUGCUGUGCAAGUGCAAAACAAGUACAGAAAACAGUCAACUAGCAUUGCAACCUAUCCAUGCUGAAGUUUGACCCUGUGGUGAGGGACCCUUCCUUAUCCAGUCCUGGCUGCUCUCUGAGCUGCUCUUCUUAUCUGAGCAGAUUAAAUGUGUUGUAUUCUUAUUGACAUCCAGCAGUAUCAGGAUAAAAGAUCUGUCAGCGAUUUCUUGGGAAGGUGUUAUGCAGGGUUCUUUUCUUACCUAGUCACAUUUGCUUGAGUUUGGCUGCUGCUCUGUAGGUUGGUGAUUUGCUGACCUUUUUAACUGAAGAAAAUACUAUGUUUAUCCAGAUAAUUGUGUUUUCAAGACCCAGAACAGGAAGAAUUAAUUUUUUCAGGGUUUGAGUUUUGGUUUUUCCUUUUUGGGGGGAAUAAGGGAUGGAGUCUUUGGGAGUGUUUGUUUGUUAUCAUUUGAGUUUUAAUUUUGUAGGUUCUGACACACGAUGGUUUUGCGCAUUUGGAACAAAAACUCACAUUUUUCUGGAAUUCCUUCAUACAUAUUGGCAG